AGCAGCCGCGGUAAUUCCAGCUCCAAUAGCGUAUAUUAAAGUUGUUGCAGUUAAAAAGCUCGUAGUUGAAUUUCGGGGUUAGUAGGUUGGUCGUGCCACUGGUAUGUACUGGUUCUACUGAUCCCUCCUUCUUGUAGAACCGUAAUGCCAUUCACUUGGUGUUGCGGGGAAACAGGACUGUUACUUUGAAAAAAUUAGAGUGUUUAAAGCAGGCUAACGCUUGAAUACAUUAGCAUGGAAUGAUGAAAUAGGACGUUCGAUCCUAUUUUGUUGGUUUCUAGGAUUGACGUAAUGAUUAAUAGGGAUAGUUGGGGGCAUUAGUAUUCAAUUGUCAGAGGUGAAAUUCUUGGAUUUAUUGAAGACUAACUACUGCGAAAGCAUUUGCCAAGGAUGUUUUCAUUAAUCAAGAACGAAAGUUAGGGGAUCGAAGACGAUCAGAUACCGUCGUAGUCUUAACCAUAAACUAUGCCGACUAGGGAUCGGAUGAUGUUAAUUUUUUAAUGACUCAUUCGGCGCCUUA
rnacentral:rRNA from 1 species